GCUGGGAUAGCCAAGUGGUACGGCGCAGGCCUGGAGAGCCUGUGAUUCUUUGAAUCGCGAGGGUUCAAAUCCCUCUCCCAGCGCCA
rnacentral:tRNA from 1 species